rnacentral:rRNA from 1 species
CCUACGGGUGGCAGCAGUGAGGAAUAUUGGUCAAUGGGCGGAAGCCUGAACCAGCCAAGUAGCGUGCAGGAUGACGGCCCUACGGGUUGUAAACUGCUUUUAUACGGGAAUAACGCGCCUUAUGUGUAGUGCUUUGCAUGUACCGUAUGAAUAAGGACCGGCUAAUUCCGUGCCAGCUGCCGCGGUAAUACGGAAGGUCCGGGCGUUAUCCGGAUUUAUUGGGUGUAAAGGGAGCGUAGGCCGCAUGUCAAGCGUGCUGUGAAAUGUCCGGGCUCAACCCGGGCCUUGCAGCGCGAACUGGCGUGCUUGAGGCCGCGGAAGGCAGGCGGAAGUCGGCGUGUAGCGGUGAAAUGCUUAGAUAUGACGAAGAACCCCGAUUGCGAAGGCAGCUUGCUGCAGCGGAACUGACGCUGAUGCUCGAAAGCGCGGGUAUCGAACAGGAUUAGAUACCCCAGUAGUC